AACGCUAGCUACAGGCUUAACACAUGCAAGUCGAGGGGAAACGACAUCGAAAGCUUGCUUUUGAUGGGCGUCGACCGGCGCACGGGUGAGUAACGCGUAUCCAACCUGCCCAUCACUUGGGGAUAACCUUGCGAAAGUAAGACUAAUACCCGAUGAUAUCUCUAGAAGACAUCUGAAAGGGAUUAAAGAUUUAUCGGUGAUGGAUGGGGAUGCGUCUGAUUAGCUUGUUGGCGGGGUAACGGCCCACCAAGGCAACGAUCAGUAGGGGUUCUGAGAGGAAGGUCCCCCACAUUGGAACUGAGACACGGUCCAAACUCCUACGGGAGGCAGCAGUGAGGAAUAUUGGUCAAUGGGCGAGAGCCCGAACCAGCCAAGUAGCGUGCAGGACGACGGCCCUAUGGGUUGUAAACUGCUUUUAUAAGGGAAUAAAGUGAGUCUCGUGAGACUUUUUGCAUGUACCUUAUGAAUAAGGACCGGCUAAUUCCGUGCCAGCAGCCGCGGUAAUACGGAAGGUCCGGGCGUUAUCCGGAUUUAUUGGGUUUAAAGGGAGCGUAGGCCGGAGAUUAAGCGUGUUGUGAAAUGUAGACGCUCAACGUCUGCACUGCAGCGCGAACUGGUUACCUUGAGUACGCACAAAGUGGGCGGAAUUCGUGGUGUAGCGGUGAAAUGCUUAGAUAUCACGAAGAACUCCGAUUG
rnacentral:rRNA from 1 species